rnacentral:rRNA from 1 species
UUAUUGGAGAGUUUGAUCCUGGCUCAGGAUGAACGCUGGCGGCGUGCCUAAUACAUGCAAGUCGAGCGAAUGGAUUAAGAGCUUGCUCUUAUGAAGUUAGCGGCGGACGGGUGAGUAACACGUGGGUAACCUG